UUAUGUGUUUUGGCACCCAUACCGGACGGGGUAUGGGGACGGCCCAUUUCACCCUCAUACCGGACGGGGUAUUGAGGUUCAUGGUUUUGGUGCCCAUACUGGACGGGGUAUGGGGAUGGCUCUGGAAUCAGGUUAUAAAUGUUAAGGGUUCACAGGUAGCGGGACCCCUAUGGAUCCCCAUGGAUACUAGUAGGCUGGUAAAUGAGGAAAAUGUGUUGUUUAAUGAUUGAAAUGCAAAGGCGUGGUAAGUAUUAUGUCAUACAGUUCAUAUGAUUUCAUGAUGAUGAUAAUGUUAUUGCUUUCAUUUGUUGUUUUAUGGAUCUUACCGAGGUAAGUGGACAGUAAACGUUUUUAUGUUAAUAAACGAGUUUAUUAUAAAUUAUGCUCCAUUUGUCUUUUUUGUAUUUUCUACCCACCUUUACCUCCGUGGCGGUGAGAUAGUGUGAUGUCUUUACUGUGCUGGUGUAGCUCAUUCCUUAUUUAACCAUUUCAGAUAAGGAAGACAUUGUUCCCGAGCCCGUUUCGCAGGAAGACGGGAAGGGGACGCCAUAAGACUCCGUAGUUAUAUUUAUAGUUCUUAUUUUCGAGUAUCACU
rnacentral:lncRNA from 1 species